UGCGUAGGUGGUCUUGUAAGUCAGAAGUGAAAGGCUACGGCUUAACCGUAGUAAGCUUUUGAAACUGCAGGACUUGAGCGCAGGAGAGGAAAGUGGAAUUCCUAGUGUAGCGGUGAAAUGCGUAGAUAUUAGGAGGAACACCAGUGGCGAAGGCGACUUUCUGGACUGUUACUGACACUGAGGCACGAAAGCGUGGGGAGCGAACA
rnacentral:rRNA from 1 species